rnacentral:rRNA from 1 species
CCGAGUUUUCGGGCUUCGGCUCGACUCUCCCACCCUUUGUGAACGUACCUCUGUUGCUUUGGCGGCUCCGGCCGCCAAAGGACCUCCAAACUCCAGUCAGUAAACGCAGACGUCUGAUAAACAAGUUAAUAAACUAAAACUUUCAACAACGGAUCUCUUGGUUCUGGCAUCGAUGAAGAACGCAGCGAAAUGCGAUAAGUAAUGUGAAUUGCAGAAUUCAGUGAAUCAUCGAAUCUUUGAACGCACAUUGCGCCCCUUGGUAUUCCGGGGGGCAUGCCUGUUCGAGCGUCAUUACAACCCUCAAGCUCUGCUUGGAAUUGGGCACCGUCCUCACUGCGGACGCGCCUCAAAGACCUCGGCGGUGGCUGUUCAGCCCUCAAGCGUAGUAGAAUACACCUCGCUUUGGAGUGGUUGGCGUCGCCCGCCGGACGAACCUUCUGAACUUUUCUCAAGGUUGACCUCGGAUCAGGUAGGGAUACCCGC